GUGGCUCAGCAGAUUAAAGCUGAGGUAUUUGAAGAAGCUUGGGAGGGAGGGUGGUGGUAGUCCUCUCCUGCUAGAGCAGAUUUGCCCAGAAGGUUGCUAAUUGCUGUGCAAGAUUUCUCCAGAGACUUAGAAGGUGUUGGUAAUUGGUAGAAAGAUAUUAAUUUAUUUUCCUGGGUGAGAUGUCUUCUGAGAUGGACAACAAGUGGACAAGUUUGUGGUGAAAGUUAAAACACUUUGAAGGACAUAUAAUCUGCUGUGCUUUUCAAAAUCCCCAAAUAGCCAAGAAUCCUGGAAGAGAAUAGGAUUUCCAAGUCAGAAUAUUCAGACAGAGCCCAUCUGUUCUUCCAAACAUCAGCUUCAGCAUAAAUACAAGGACAGACAUUUAGAGCUACAUCAUCCUUGGAAUGUAGUGGGGAAUGAACAUCCCAAUUCUUGGAGAGACAGUGGAAAAGUUUUAGGAUAUUUUAAGAGAAAGGAAGAUGUCCUUCAUGUGAGAAUGUGGGUUAUCAAUGUUGCUAUUUGUCUUGGAACUGCAGUUUUCCAUGAAAAGCCUGGUUUAGGCAUGAUAAGUGACCAAAACCAUACUACAUUACCAGCAUUCUUGAGGCUGCCCAGAGAUCUUGUGGAGUCUCCUGCCCUGGAGAUAUUCAAAAGCCAACCAGACACAGCCCUGACUAACGCGCUCUACAGCACUCUGCCCAAGCAGGGAGCUUGGACCAGAGCACUCCAGUGACUACAUUUCUAGUACUUCCUUGCUUCUCUAUAAGAGGUCAAAAGAGAAAUUCAAAUGAGUCUGGAGAGAAGUAGUCAAGUCAUCUAGUUUAUCUUCUUUACAUUGACUUUUGUUCAUCACUUGAGUUGUUGCUUCAUAAUUAGGCACGGAGAACAUCAUCCCGGAGUAAGCUAGAUGGGGCUCUACAGGAACUACUGGAGCUGUUUGUGUUUUCUUUCCAAAAAACCAAGGUCUCCCAGCCUGGGGAUAUUAAUGGGAGCUGACUGGAAAACACCUUCUGUUGUACUGUACAUCCUGCUUUUGAAAGUCACAAACCAGCACAAGAUUUGGAUCUGCAUAUGCAUCAGUGACUGUAAUUGUCUCAGUGGGAAACCCCCAUUGUUCUGUUUUGUGCUUGACAUUGAACUGGGCAGGUGUGUCCACAUAAGGUGCAACGGGGAGGAUUUGCAUGCUGGCUUGCUGAAGUGACAGAAUUGUGCAAAAUAACUGCAGUGGUCUGGCAAGCUUCAGGAAGCAGGUUGACUGGAAAGUAAUUCUCUGAAGAGGUGGAAGAGCACGAUGCUGCUGUGCACCGGUGUCUGGCUGCUGCCCUGCUGGAGAUCCAUGAGCAACAACAGCACGGACAACAAAAUGGCAAAAAAGAGGUGCCCCAAAUGUGAAACUAGCCUUGAGACUUCUCUAAUUCCUGCAUGAGAAAGUGGCAGGGAUCUUGCAAGGUAUUUAUUCAUCCCCAACAGCACUCCUACAUCCAAGGCAGCAAGCAGAGCCCGGGAAGGGCUUUUUGUCACACUGACACAAGGCACAAGAAAUCUGGACAGUGUGCAAACAACAGCAAGAGCAGGGCAGGACCUUCUCCCAAGCCCAGCCUUCGCUGCACAUGAAGGAGGAGACACAGACAUCUGGUGACCCAAGCAAUUGCUUAAUGUGGCUCCCCAGAGAAGUGUCAGCAAGUGUAUGGACAGGAACUGGCAAACACUUCCACCAGACCAUGCUGGCCUGGCACAUGGAAAAAGUGAAGAAUGAUUCAAGCUGGAUGUGUUUUCUGCACCAGUGGGCUUCCUGGCAGACGCACAGGAAUAACCCUAUCUACCAAAAAAGAACAUCAUUGUGCCAUGGAUGCUGCAAAUCACACAUGUGACUGCUCUCUCCUUACUCUGUCAUGGACAGGCAAUUUCCUGUGUUUCAACAAGAAGUUGAUUUCAAAACCUCCAAUUACAAAAAAUAUACAAAAAUGUAUUUGCCAGCAGAUUUUUGUUUAGAAAAAUACAGCAUUUUAAUUACAUAGUGCUGUAAUAGCUCCCUAUUUUUAUAGAAAUGUGAUCACUGCAAUUUCUUCAUUAGGGAAUAGUUCCACUAUUUAAGAAAAUGUUAUUUAAGAGGCGUGGUGUUAUCUGUUUAUCCCACACUGUUAACACCCCAGAAAAACAUAAGCAAACACUUGAAUGCUUUCCUCCUAGCAACCAAGGUCUCUCACAUCAGAAAAGCAGCAUACUUGUCUUUUUCUCUACCUUGUAUUGAGCCAAAUUUCUAGUUUACAGCCCUUUGGCCAUUCAGUAACCAUCAGAUUCUUGGAAUAUAAUUUUAGGUGAAAUUCUAAACCAGUGAUUAUGUUCACAGGGCCAGAUUUUCAGGCCUUUGUGUAUCCCUUACUUUCACUGAUAGAAAUAUUGUAAAAUUAAUCUUAGGAACUAAGCUUCUUUACAUUUACUAACCUGCUGCAUGACUUAACUCUUCAAAUUACCAACAGCUUUUACAAAGUGCUGAGUUUCUGCAAAUCCCAGUAUGAUGAGUCUAAAACACUGACACUGAGUAUUGCCUUGGGAUCUCACUCUGUCUUUCAAGGCUGGGAUCAUGGUGCUGUUUUUACUGAAGAAAUGGGGGGGUUCAGAUCUCUUGAAAUCUUUGCAGGGUAUUGGGGACCCAAAAACCCCAAAAAACCCAGAAAAUAGACCAUCAGAAUCGUCUCCUUGUCUACUUCCUUCUUUCCUUACAUAAGGGUAAGUUCUCCUUUCUCUCUUUUCUUAUCUAAGGGACACAUGGUCUCCGUGCUAACUCUUCAAGAAAAACAGAGAAGCACCUGGGAAAUCUGUCUUCCAAGGAAAGAUGAAAGAUGUAGCUAAGUGAGAGGAUGUGUCCUUCUCAGCACUGACAGUGUGGUCAAAGAGACAGCUCCCCCUGACUUUUCCCUGAAGAGUUCACAGACAACUGUCCAGAAGAGCGCCCGGUCUCGCGGCAGCUCUGCGAGCAGCAGGGAUCACUGCAGCACUCUGGGCUGCUGCUGCCGUGUCAUUCCAGGGCCUCUGGGGUCACCUGAGUGCAUUAAAUUAACACUGUUCCCAGGCAAAGCAAAAUGUCUGGCAACAGGAUGGUGCAGCAUAACAAUGGGGUAGGAGGGGUAGCUGCACACCUAGAUAUGAAAUGAUUGGAAGGAGAGGGGAGCGCUGAUUCUGAGCGACGUGACUCAGUGCCAAAUGCACGUUCUCACACACAUCUCCCAGCAGAUUAUGUGUCUCUUCACCAGCACUUAACAUUUUUAUAGCUUAUUUCAGUAUUUUUGCAUUUGUUUCACCCAUCAUAAUUUAUUUAUGAGUUUAAGAUUAUUAAAAAUUUGAAGCUUCAUUACAAACUAUCCUGGGGGAAUCUCACCUGCCUCAUCCUAUUACAUUAUUAUUACCAAGUGUCUAAUUUAUAUUUAAUCAGACAUCAAUUGAACAUCAAUAAAAUAAUAAUGAAUUAAUAAGCUAUAUCUUCCUGGAAAUACUUGUAGCUUAAGUAUUUAAGCAAAGGCAGUGCACUGUCUGUGGGUCAGCUAUCAAAUCUCUCUGAGACUAUCUGACAGAACAAUUUAGUAUUUAGAAUAUGAUAAUAAGCCAUAAAAAUAGUUAAUUGCUAUGGUCUUCAGCUAAUUCUUGUGAUAAUUAUGACCCAUACCAACCUGUGAACCUGAGCUGAGAAGUGACCCAGAGUUCCAUGUAAGACAGUCAUUUCCAAACACUGUAAAUGCCUAAGGGACUCCAUGUUCCCACAAAAUGAAAUGACAAAAGAAUUUUGGUUUGGGUAAAUGCUUUAUUUUUCACUUUAGCAUGACCUCUUAAACUGAAAUUAUUUAUUUUUCUACACAGAAAAAUCAAAAUAAAUAUUUUUUAAAAAUUAAUAUAACAUCUGCCUAUGAACAUUAAAAUAGCCUAGUUCAACAUUGCUGGUCGGGUGUUCUGUUUUAACAAAAUAUCAACCCAACAAACAAGCUUUGGAAAAUACUUCUUUACAGACAGAAGUAGCCUUAUUUCAGCCUGGGGAAUUUCAGUAAAGACCCUACUCCUAUUCCCCACUAUGGAUCCACAGUGAUUGUCAUCCUUAAAUAGUGAUGAAUAUCACUAAUUGGGGACUACUUCCAUGUGCACUUCUUAGGCCUAUAUGUUUUCUCCUUCCUCUACUAAGCCUCAAGAGUCAGAAUUUUCAUUCCAGAUCUUUUUACUUCUUCUUCAAUUUCCUACUAUGUACUCUCCUUUAUGGUUCAAAUUUUAUCAGAGAUUGAAAAAAGAGCCCUAGAUGCAAAAGAUAAUCAUGUUGUCAGUAUUCUUCUCUGUCCCAGUCCACUAAGAAUCACUUAACCCUGUUCUCCAAAAUGAUCCUACUGAAGUCAGGGGAACUGCUUCAGCCCCUCACUUAAUCAGAUUUACAUGAGGACUUUAAAUACCCAUCUGUGGAACUUGAGCCAAAAGACAAUAUUAUCCUUCUAUGACAGUCUAGUACCUUUUAAUAUUCACUGACUCUCUUUUCCUUUUCAUCCACAACACAUUUGUCUCUUUUAGCUGCUUGGGUCCACUCUGGCUGUCUGUAUUACCCAAGCAAGGGUUAUAAGGCCAAGUGUCCUCAGGCAUGCAGCAUGGGCUCCUGCAAAAUCAAUCCCAUGGAAACCUCAAUGCCACUUGGGAUAUUGAGCCAUCCACCAAAAAGUGCCAUUCAAAUCUAACAUAAGGAGAUUCCAGUUUAACAUUUAAAAUUUUAAUAAGAUCUAAAGUGGCCAUCAGACAUUCUUUUAUAUGAGAUUUUCACUCAGUUACUUCUGCAUCAAUCCCCACAACUCCUCUUUGAGUAAAACACAUCCUUAUUGAAAUGCUUCCAGUGUUAAUCUGUAAAUGGAAAAUCCAUCAUCUCACUGGCUUACACUAGUAUGUUUUACUCCACACAUUCAUCACCUCACUUCUCAACUGAACUUGUCAGGCUGUCACUCCCACUCACUGACUUGUCCUUCCCUCCAUGCAGGGCUUUGGCAGCCCAUGUUUUGGUCCCAGGGAUGCUGGUACACCACAACCUGAGUGAGCUGGACUCACCAAAGCCAUGGGAAGCCCCACCACUCACAAAAGUAAAAGCCAUUGCAUGGUUAUGUUCCAUCCCCUUUACCAUGAAGGAUUCCUCAAAGUUCAGAAUCAAGGACAUCACUCUUCUUCCUGAGCAGACCCAAAUACACUCCUUUCUGGGACACACUCAUGGGGAAAUGAUGACCAGUUUAACCAGAGACCACCUUCCCACACCUCUGAGGGAUGGUUCUAAUUUUUGGGCAACUUGCUUACUGGAUUUCACAUUUUCUGCCGUGUAACCACAGUCAAAUCUGAAAAAAAAAAUGCCACUCACCUCUCUUCUUAAAAAUCUUCCACCACAGAGAGCAGUUUCACUGCUCUCAUUCAAUCAAACCACUCACUGACUUGACAGAUCUUUCUCAUGAGUAAGAAAGAAUAAAGGUCUUCCUGUUCUGGAUGUGCUUUGCAAUGGAUCCUGUGAAAAUCAAGAUAAAUAAUGUACACUAAUUCAUCUUUAAUGAGCACAAAAGUAGUUGCCCAGAAUGACAGCUAUCAGGUUGUAGCCAGUGAGUGCUGUACAACCCCUUCUGUAAACACAACAAUGAGUAAAGAUCAAUCUCUUACUCCUUUCUUACUCUCCAGUGGGACAGACCCUUAAUUAUAGCUAUUACAUUAAUAAUGAUUUCAGACAAACCCACACAGCUGAGGGUGCAUUCUCCUCAGGAUAGCAAAGACAAUAUUAAAACCCUGCCUGGGAAAACUCCUCAGUAACUUCUGCUGGUGUUCAUCCCAACCAAGGAAUGCUCUGUUCUAGACAGAAAGCACAUAGCUCCAGCUCACUUCCUCCUGCUCCUGGGUGAUAAGGCAGUCUGCAAAAAUUGAUACACCAUUGAAAAGGGAAAUAUUUAUGCCUGAAAACACUGAGAGAAAAGAAAACUCCACCUCUCAUUAAGCUCUGAAAAACUACUAGAGAUUUUGGAUGUCUUACCCAGGCCUCUAGAUCCUGCACAGUUUGCCCAUCUUUAGUAAGUCCCUGACUGACAGUGUUUGUGACACAACAAUGCAAAAAUAGCACUACAAAUUGUGAUUGUGUACCAGAAAAUUGAACCAGAAAUCCCCACUAAGGCCCUGUAUCACCCUCAUCUCUCACUGCACCACCAGAGCAACAUUUUAAUUCUGUAUGUGUAGCAUUUAUGGGCACCCUUCAGGUAUAAACAUACUUCUACAGUCAGCUGGGAAGGAUGGCUACACAAGACCCCAGUGAGGGGACAACAGGGCAGAAUCAAGAUUCAGGUUUGCACCAAACAAUGAAUAAUUCAUAAACCCUUUACAUGUAGGUAGCUUGUAAUUCUUACAUAACAAUUACUAGAAAAUUAAUGUAACUGCCUCUCAAGAGAAUUACUAGAAAACACCAUUAUUCUCUGCAGGUAUGCACAUGCAAGCUAUAGCUAAGCUGAUGACACAUCUUGUGAUAAAUUAUUUGGUUUAAACUUGUUUUGGAAUAUGUAGCAACUUAUUGAUAGCCAACAUCUUACAACAUUGCCUAUGUGGAAAGCAAUGCCUGGCAAAUUAUCAAUUCUUAAUAAAGCUCUGUGCUUCUAAGUA